rnacentral:lncRNA from 1 species
GGCAGCUCUGAGACCUGAAGCCUCAGAACCAGCUCUCCUCCUCCUCUUCCUCCUCAAGAUGGACCUCAACUCACUGAACUCUGGUUCACUCUUUUGGUCCCAGAGCUAAUUCUUUGGUUGUUUAAGGUUUAGCAUAGGAGACCCCAAAGCAGCAAGGUUCUGGCCCUGGUUCUGCCACUUGCCAGCUCCACGCCCUCAGAUCAGUGGCUUCAGAGCCUCAACGUGCUCAGCUGUGAAACAGGGACAGGGUGAGGCCUUCCCAGGUAUGAUCCACUGUGCCCAUCCUGGAUGCAGACUUUAAGCAGAGUCACAUCAACAAGAAGAGCUGUGAAGGUCAGGGCAUGACCCACAGAUGCCCAAACACUGCACUGGAGGUCCAGGAAGAUUCUGCUGACAACGCAACCCUGAGCCAAGAUCUGAAGGAUAAGAGGGAGCUUAUAACAUGGAAGAAGGAACAGUAUUCCUGGCAAGUGGAACAGCAUGUGCAAAGGUCAGGUGGUAAGAGGGGCUUCAAGGACAGUCCUAUGGCUGGAGCAGAGUGAUUGAGGGCAUGUGAAAUGAGAGGUGGCCAGGGUGGCAGGCAGGGACUAGCCCAAUGGCCGUGAAAGGGAUGGGACUUUGGUCACUGUUUCGCAUUUCCAGAUGUUUACUAUGUGCCAGGCUUGGUACUAAAUGCUUUUCUGGAAUAUCUCACUAGAUUCUCACAUAGAUGAAGGGCUUGAUCUUAGAGAGGUUAGAUCCCUCAGCCGAGAGCCCACAGUGAGGAAGCCAUGGGGCCUGUGUCCCUGACUGCAAGACCUGUGCUCAGAACGGCCAGGCCACACAGACCUCAACUCUCACUACAACCUCCUGAAGUCGGUGUGGUUACUCUUCCCACUUUACAGAUGAGGACAUGGGCCCAGAGAGGUUAUGUGAGUGACACAGCUUGAAGGUGGAGUUAAGCCUGGGCAGUCUGGCUUCAGAGUGUCCACAGUCUCAACCACUGCCUCACAUGGCUUCUUAGAAAAUAUUAUAAAAAGAAGCUCGGGCUGCCAUGUGGAAAAGAAUGGAGAGGGGACAAUGACACAGCUGGGAGCAUGCUGUGAUGGUGUACAGCGGACACAUUCAGGAUGAGGUGAAACAGGCUGGCCCUGGUGAGAGGCUAGAUGGGGCUGGGAUGAGGGUGGAGACAAGUAGUCUUGGGGUUGGCUUGGUGCAGCUGGGGGGUGCGGGGAGUGUCUCUGAGGUGAGGCCGGGGGUAUGGGAACGCCAUGUUUGGUCUGGGACACGGUGGGCUUGGGAUGGCUACAGGACAGUGCAGUGGAGAGUCAAAAAGGCUGCUCGGACCCAGGUCUGGCGAGAUGGAAGCUGGAGGUCAGGUGAGCUGUCUAGGAGAGGGACAGAGUGGGAAGGAGAGGGUCUCGACUCGGCUUUCUUGCCAAAGGAGGGUUCCGAAAUGAGAAACUGUGGAAUCUAAGCUGGAGAGGAAGAAAGACGGAGAAUGAGUGAACGCACACGUGUGGGACAGAUAGAUGAAUAUUCAUGUCUUUGGCUCCUAUGUACCUGAGUCUUCUAAAGCUGCAGGCCAUACUACCCCCGGGAGGCUGCAGGGAUGCCAGCUGGGAGAUGAAUGCAACUCUGCUGCCUGGGCAUGGGCCUGAGUGAGGGUGCAGACCCCUGCCUGUGAUCAUCAGGGAGGGUGAUGAGAACAAGGUGGCUGACAGGGUGAGGCCCAAGCCUGGAGCUUACCCAGGUGCGGGGAUGGGAGGGUCAGAGACCUUUGGGGGGUCUUAGGGAGCUUCCCCAGCCCUAAAGGCACCGCAAGCUGCCACUUCACACUGACCUGGGCAUACGCAGCUGCAGGAUCCCUUGCUCGCUCUCUCACAAGCAAAUGUAGACUGCGCAACCAUCCUGACCACAGAUCCAGAAAGCCCAGGACAUAACAGAGCCGCAGUGCCUGCCCUGAUCCACGCGCACACAGAUCUAGCCCAGGAACAAGCCCAUCCACGGUGAGGAACUUGUGGCCCAGUGGCUGGAGCCUCUCACCUGAGCCCUCACUGCCUGAGGACCCCCAGCCUCUGGCCUCAUUUCCCACCCUUUGCCAGCCAGCCUUGGGGACAAAACAGGUCUGGAUCUAAUCCAAGGUCUGGACUCACCCUGACACCCUGUGAACUCAAGGCCUUCCCUACCUCACCCUGGGCCCAGAGCCCCUACCUGUAAAGUGGAAGUGGGAAUGGCCACCAGCCAGGCAGAAACCCUCACUUAGGGCCUCAUGGCCAGGCAUCAGGACAGUCAGGAGAGGGGCCGAGGUAAGCCACAGAGGCCCUGCCUGUCUUGGUAUCCCACCAUCGCCAGGAGGGGACUGCAUGGGCAUCACACCCCUCACAGAUGAACAAAGUGAGGCAGAGAAGGGCCUCAAGAUGAGUUAGGGGCGAGGCCCCAGCUCUGCUGCUGCCCCUUCCCUUAUCACCCCUGCAGCCUGGGAUGCGAGGGUGGCCAGUGACAGACCCCAAGGACUCUAGGCUAAGGUCUCCUUACCUGCGUUCUGUGGCCUGCUCCCCGCCUGCAUGCCGCCUCAUGGGGGUCCUCUGGCUGGCCCAGGAGCACGGUUGGCCCAGCAGAGCAGCUCAGUGUUAUGGGGAAGGGAGGCCCAGCCCACCACGCCGACCGCCUGGGGCCCUAUGUAUAUUUAAUGAUGUCUAUUAUUCCUGUUUUGUCUCUGGAAAGGAGUGAGCAGCUGACAGGGGAGCCACGAACAGCCUGGAGAGCUGAGCAUGGGCCUGCUCCACACUCCAGCGGGGCCCGAGGCCCCCGGGAACUCUACCCCUCCUGGCAGCCUCACAGAACCUGCUGCAUCCAUCUCAAAAGGCAUACCUCCUCCAGGAAGCCUUCCCCGCUGCUCAGAGGUCUUAAAUCCGGGGUCUGCACUCACAAACUGUGCAGCCUACACCAGCUUCUGGGGGACAGCAGAACACUGUGGGGGGCCUGGCACAGUCCCUGGCACACGGUAGGCACUCAUCGAGCCCCUGCCAGCCCCUCUACUCCUGACUUCUGAGGCAACAGGAAAUGACCCGCCACCUUGUUCUCACAGAGCCUCCCUGCCAGCCCAGAUGGUCACAAGGGCCUCCUGGGAUGCUGCCCACCUUGGCAGCCAGGCCCCUCCGGAGGGGCCAGUCUGGGCCUGACACCCCCGAACACCAACCCCCUGGGCAGAGCCUGCCUGUGCCUGGGUGAGGAACCCUGCAGUCUCCUUGCCACACAAGGCCUGGGUCUGCCUUGGGGCCCAGGCUGCACCCUCUCCGACCCCCAGGCCCAAUGUCUGACCUGUGCCCACCUGACUCAACCUGGCUACUGUUCAGCAAGUUUACAAAGUGUUCUCAGUCUGAACAGGAACCGUUUUCAAUCCUUUAUUUCAGAAAGGAGAGCCAGGAGAACUGGGGACUUAGAAAAUACAGAUCCUAAACUCAAAAGUCCCUGCCCCAGGCGUGCAGAGCCAGGGUCCUGGGGUUUUGUGCUGGGCAGGGGCUGCCCUGGGAGGGGGAAUACAGGGGGAGGCACUUUAGGACACCCCUUAGGCUGUGGAGGGUGUCAGCUGGGCCUUUGAAGCCACUAACCACUGGUUCCCAUCAUGGAGAGCCCUGUGUGGGGCACCCAAGGGGGUUUCCUCCUGGAAGGGCCCCCAACCCAAGUGUCAGAGAAGCUGGCAAGAGCUGAGGGAGUGAGGUGCCAUGACAGCAGCCACAGCCUCCAGGGACCCAAACAGGCCCAGCUACCAGCCUGGCACUGAGCAUGCCAUCUGCUUUAGGCCCUGGCUGGCGGGCAUGUGGGCAACUUGCUCCCUCAGUGCAGGGGGCUGGGAGGCACAGAUGCAGGCUCAGCACUACAAACUCAAAACCCCCAUGAGAGGGCUCAGUCUUAUGGGAAAUGCCUCCAACCGAGCCCCUUUGCCCCAACACACUCUUCGUCUGCCUACUGAAGAAACUUCUGUAAAUAGCAGAGACUUGAGGGACCCCUUCCUGGGGUACGUGUAUUUGUAUUUUUCUGUUUGGGUGUUUGUGUGUCCCAGUGGGACCACCUCCCCAGGGAGACGAGGCAGGUGGGCGGGAGGCCCGGCAGGCGCCGUUACUUCUUCACGAUCUGGAUGACGUCCUCAUGCUCCAUGGUGUGGGUCAGGCCCACCCGCUGCGGACUGUACUUGGUGCUGGUGCCCUGGGUGAGGAAUGGGGGCAGAGGGGUCACCUCAGCCUGGACUGGCCAAGGUCAAGGAAGAUAUCCCUGGGCGUGUGUGUCCUGAAGGGUAAAUGCCAUGGCAUAAGGUGGGGGCCUCAGGCAGCAGGAUGUCCGCAGUUGUCUGACCAUCCCUGAUCUCAAAGGUUGGGGAGGGCCAGGCACAGUGGCUAAUGCCUGUAAUCCCAGCACUUCUGGAGGUCAAGGUGGGAGGAUCACUUGAGCUCAGGUGUUUGAGACAGCCUGGGCCAGAUAGCGAAACCUUGUCUCCAUGAAAAAUUAGCCAGGCAUGGUGGUGUGUGCCUGUAGUCCCAGCUACUUGUGAUGCUGAGGUGGGAGGAUCGCUUUUGCACAGAUGUCGAGGCUGCACUGGGCCAUGAUCGUGCCACUGCACUCCAGCGUGGGAGACAGAGCCAGACCCUGUCUCAAAAAAAAAAAAAAAAAAAAACCAGAAAAAAAAAAGGGUGGGGAAGGCCCAUGUCUACCCUGGGUUGGCAUGUACAUUCUAUGGAGGACAGACACACAGACAUGCCAAUCCCCACAGGAAGGACAGGAACACCACGCAGAGAGUGUGAAUGCCUUGCUUCAUGCCUAACCCAGGGGCUGUCCUGGGUCUACCCCCCUGGUUGCUUUCCACCCAGAGACUCACCCACACCAGGGCGUACUUGAACUGGCUGGCGAGUGACCGGUGGAUGCGGUGGCACUGGAGGACAGGAGAGAGUCAGGUAGAGAGGUCUUCCAGGCCCUGGUGGGAGACCCAACACCUCAGCCCAGCGUCCCUGGGGCGGAGGCCGGCGCCAGGCCUGCAGGAACACUUCCUUGACACAGAUGGGAAGGUGGCUGACUCUGGUCUGCAGAUGGGUUUUGUUUUACUCAGCUUGCCCAGCAUUGCCACUUGUGAGUGACUGAAGGGAUUCAGGAGGGUAAUCGUGAGUCUCCUUGGCUCCUCCUGCUGUGAUCUCAAGCCUAGGCCCUGAGGGAGAUGGGACUUUGCCUGGCCUCCUUUGUUUAACACCUCUAGGGUGGCACUCAGAGACCUGGGGCUGGGCUUGCGGAAUGAAUGAAUGCAUGAGACCAGAUUACAGGCCCUGCCACCACUGUCCUAAGGGGCUGCAGGGACAGCUGGGUCUACAGCAUCCCUUGCCUCCAGGAUACAGAUCCCAAGAAGAAAUGAGCUAGAGGAAAACAACACCAGGAAAGCAUCAGCCCAGGAGGACGGCCAUGUGACCUGAAGGUUGGCCACCAUCUGUGCCUGCAGGGUCAUGUUCAGGUGACAGAAUCCUGGACAGGGAAAGGCAGCCUCUUGCUCCCUGAGCCCAGACCACCUCCCCUGGGGCCUGUGCAUGCCUGCUCCCCUACCUGGGAUGCUCCCCACCCCAACUCUUCACUGCCAGACCCACUAGUCCUAUAAGCCGGCUCAGGUUGCCUCCUUGAAGCCGCUGUCCUGACCUCUGUGUUAAGCUGGUGCCACUCCCUACUCUCCUUGACUGAUGCCUGAAUGGCAUGGAAGCAGGGUUACUGGCAUCUCUGCAAAGCCAGGCAGCAUGCUGAGUGCCCUACACACUGGACCUCAUUCAACGUGUCCUCCUGACUAUCCAGGGGGCAGGCAGCACACCCCCCUCACAGUAGAGGUCAGAGCCUCGGCACAUGGCUAAGAAGGGGUGCUGCAGACGCAGCCCCAGGCUGUCCAACUCCAGAGCCUGCGUUGACAUCUGAGAGUGAGACCAGCAGAGCCCACCCCCAGCCCAGGGCACCUCAGGCAGAACAGAGCCCCAAAGGGCAUGCAGAGCUCCCACCCCUUGUCACGGCAGGUCUUGUCAACUCACCACGUGCUCCACUGAGGCCCCUUUCCGGAGAAUGAUGGCGUCUGUGAAGUCUGGCCUCUCUGCAGGGCAGGAUGGGGAGAACGUCAGCCACACAUCAGGGCCCACACUGCCAUCUUGUGAUUCUGCGCGAGGGAAGAGCUGGCCACAGAGGCCCUUUCGGUCUCCUUGCCUUGGCCUAACCUCCCCCUGACAUCCAGCACACCCUCCACAUAGAUCCCUGUACCAUCUUCUACGACCUUGAUCUUAACACAGUGACUCAAAAUAAAUCACGUCUAGGAUUCACAGUGCCUGCCACCCAUCUGCUGUGACAGCACUGACAGAGACCAGGACCUGGACUGAACGGGCAGGGCGCAAAGGGAU